rnacentral:rRNA from 1 species
UACAGAGGGUGCGAGCGUUGUCCGGAAUCACUGGGCGUAAAGGGCGCGUAGGUGGCGGCCCAAGUCCGUGGUGAAAGCUCGCCGCUUAACGGCGAGUCGGCCACGGAGACUGGGUGGCUCGAGCACUGUAGGGGCAGAUGGAAUUCCGGGUGUAGCGGUGGAAUGCGUAGAGAUCCGGAAGAACACCAGUGGCGAAGGCGGUCUGCUGGGCAGUUGCUGACACUGAGGCGCGACAGCGUGGGGAGCGAACAGG